GAUGAACGCUAGCGGGAGGCCUAACACAUGCAAGCCGAGCGGUAUUUCUUCUUCGGGAGAGAGAGAGCGGCGUACGGGUGCGGAACACGUGUGCAACCUGCCUUUAUCUAGAGGAUAGCCUUUCGAAAGGAAGAUUAAUACUCUAUAAUAUAUUAAUUGGCAUCAAUUGAUAUUGAGAACUCCGGUGGAUAGAGAUGGGCACGCGCAAGAUUAGCUAGUUGGUGAGGUACCGGCUCACCAAGGCAAUGAUCUUUAGGGGGCCUGAGAGGGUGAUCCCCCACACUGGUACUGAGACACGGACCAAACUCCUACGGGAGGCAGCAGUGAGGAAUAUUGGUCAAUGGGUGCAAGCCUGAACCAGCCAUCCCGCGUGAAGGAUUAAGGUCCUAUGGAUUGUAAACUUCUUCUGUAUAGGGAUAAACCUACCCUCGUGAGGGUAGCUGAAGGUACUAUACGAAUAAGCACCGGCUAACUCCGUGCCAGCAGCCGCCGCGG
rnacentral:rRNA from 1 species